UACUAAGGAUGUAUUGCCAUUAGUAAUAUCAAAAGGAUUGAAUGUUACAGAGGUAGCUCAUGACAAUUCACCGCCUGUAACAUCAUAUAUUGUUGAAGAGUUAAAGCU